UUGACCUCGAAUCAGGUAGGACUACCCGCUGAACUUAAGCAUAUCAAUAAGCGGAGGAAAAGAAACCAACAGGGAUUGCCCCAGUAACGGCGAGUGAAGCGGCAACAGCUCAAAUUUGAAAUCUGGCCCCUAGGGCCCGAGUUGUAAUUUGCAGAGGAUGCUUUUGGCGAGGCGCCUUCCGAGUUCCCUGGAACGGGACGCCACAGAGGGUGAGAGCCCCGUCUGGUUGGAUGCCGAGCCUCUGUAAAGCUCCUUCGACGAGUCGAGUAGUUUGGGAAUGCUGCUCUAAAUGGGAGGUAUAUGUCUUCUAAAGCUAAAUAUUGGCCAGAGACCGAUAGCGCACAAGUAGAGUGAUCGAAAGAUGAAAAGCACUUUGAAAAGAGGGUUAAAUAGUACGUGAAAUUGUUGAAAGGGAAGCGCUCAUGACCAGACUUGGGCCCGGUGAAUCAUCCAGCGUUCUCGCUGGUGCACUUUGCCGGGCUCAGGCCAGCAUCAGUUUGCCCCGGGGGAUAAAGGCUCUGGGAAUGUGGCUCCUCCGGGAGUGUUAUAGCCCUCUGCGCAAUGCCCUGGGGCGGACUGAGGUUCGCGCAUCUGCAAGGAUGCUGGCGUAAUGGUCAUCAGCGACC
rnacentral:rRNA from 1 species